rnacentral:rRNA from 1 species
AGAGUAUCCUGGCUUAGAACGAACGCUGGUGGCGUGUCUUAUACAUGCAAGUCGAGCGGUGCAGCAAUGCAUAGCGGCGAACGGGUGAGUAACACGUAAGCAAUCUGCCCCCUGCUUGGGAAUAGCCGUGCCAACGCGCGGAUAAUACCGAAUAUCGUGGCCUUCCGCAUGGGAGGUUGACAAAAGAUUUAUCGGCAGGGGAUGAGCUUGCGUCCGAUUAGCUAGUUGGCGGGCAACGGCCCACCAAGGCGACGAUCGGUAGCCGGCCUGAGAGGGCGAUCGGCCACAUUGGGACUGAGAUACGGCCCAGACUCCUACGGGAGGCAGCAGUAGGGAAUAUUGCACAAUGGGGGAAACCCUGAUGCAGCAACGCCAACCGUGUGGGAAGAAGCAUUUCGGUGUGUAAACCACUGUCGUGAGGGAAUAAGGCAUUUUUUCGGAGAUGUUGAAUGUACCUCGAAAGGAAGCACCGGCAAACUUCGUGCCAGCCGCGGC